UACGUAGGGAGCAAGCGUUUGUCCGGAAUCAUUGGGCGUAAAGCGCGCGUAGGCGGCCCUGUAAGUCCGUUGUGAAAGUCAAAGGCUCAACCUUUGAAAGCCGAUGGAUACUGUAGGGCUAGAGUCCGGAAGAGGCGAGUGGAAUUCCUGGUGUAGCGGUGGAAUGCGCAGAUAUCAGGAGGAACACCAAUAGCGAAGGCAGCUCGCUGGGACGGUACUGACGCUAAGGCGCGAAAGCUAGGGGAGCAAACGGGG
rnacentral:rRNA from 1 species